rnacentral:rRNA from 1 species
AACGAACGCUGGCGGCUUGCCUAACACAUGCAAGUCGAACGAGACCUUCGGGUCUAGUGGCGCACGGGUGCGUAACGCGUGGGAACCUGCCCUUAGGUUCGGAAUAACUCCCCGAAAGGGGUGCUAAUACCGGAUAAUGUCUUCGGACCAAAGAUUUAUCGCCUUUGGAUGGGCCCGCGUUGGAUUAGCUAGUUGGUAGGGUAAAAGCCUGCCAAGGCGACGAUCCAUAGCUGGUCUGAGAGGAUGAUCAGCCACACUGGGACUGAGACACGGCCCAGACUCCUACGGGAGGCAGCAGUGGGGAAUAUUGGACAAUGGGCGAAAGCCUGAUCCAGCAAUGCCGCGUGAGUGAUGAAGGCCUUAGGGUUGUAAAGCUCUUUUACCCGGGAUGAUAAUGACAGUACCGGGAGAAUAAGCUCCGGCUAACUCCGUG